rnacentral:rRNA from 1 species
GACGAACGCUGGCGGCGUGCUUAACACAUGCAAGUCGAACGGAAAGGCCCUGCUUUUGUGGGGUGCUCGAGUGGCGAACGGGUGAGUAACCUGGGAGUCACCUUCCCUGGACUUUGUGAUAACUUCAGGAAACUGGGGCUAAUACCGGAUAGGAGCUCCUGCUGCAGGGUGGUGGUUGGAACGCUUAGGCGGGGGGGGAUGGAUUCGGGGGUUAUCAGCUGGUGGGGGGGGUAGUGGCUUACCCAGGCUUUGACGGGUAGCCGGCCUGAGAGGGUGAACGGGCACCAUGGGACUGAGAGACGGCCCAGACGCGUACGGGAGGCAGCAGGGGGGAAUAUUGCACAAUGGGCGGAAGCGUGAUGCAGCAACGCCGCGUGCGGGAUGACGGCCUUCGGGUUGUAAACCGCUUUAGCCUGUGACGAAGCGUGAGUGACGGUAAUGGGUAAAGAAGCACCGGCUAACUACGUG